rnacentral:rRNA from 1 species
UACGUAGGGGCCUAGCGUUGUCCGGAUUUAUUGGGCGUAAAGAGCUCGUAGGCGGUUCGGUAAGUCAGGUGUGAAAUCUCCACGCUCAACGUGGAGGCGCCACCUGAAACUGCCGUGACUCGAGUCCGGUAGGGGAGUGUGGAAUUCCCGGUGUAGCGGUGAAAUGCGCAGAUAUCGGGAGGAACACCGGUGGCGAAGGCGGCAUCCUGGACCGAUAUUGACGCUGAUGCGCGAAAGCCAGGGGAGCAAACAGG